CAAAGCUCUGGACCGUCUGCCUGACCCUGGGCAAGUCUUUGAGUCCCUGGGUGCCUAGUUCCCCCAUAGCGUGAGUGACUGAACUAGAGGAACAUCUCUUCCACCCUUUCCUGGGCUAAGAACUGGGAUUCUGUGCCUGCAUCUUCUCCCUUCCUUCUGUGGGUUAUUCUGGUUGGCACCAGCCCUUUGCUGGCCACAUGCCAGAGCCGGGCACCUGUGGCCACCAAGGCUGCCCCUGCUGAGUCACACCAGAGGUCCGACAGCAGCGAGAUCGCUGCUCCUGUCCCAGCUCCCCCUCCUUCCUGCUCACUGGGAAAAGAAUCCCUACCAAGCCCUUACAUCCCAGAGAGCGGUUGCUUGGCUGUUGGCACAGACAUUUCUGGAACACUUUCUUGUGGCCAGGCACUGUUUGAGAGGCUGAUGACACGGCAGAGCCCAACCAGAGGCAGUUCCUACCUCCAUGGAGCUUGUGUUCUAAUGGAAGAGAAAGACUCCUCAUGGAACAUCUCCAGAAAAUCAAACUAGAAGACAUGGGUCCAGCUUCCUGGAGUGCUCUUGCGCUAUUUUACGAUGACCUUCUCUCAACAGAGGUAUGAACCACAGAGCUCUACUCCAGGAUCCAGUGGUCACUGCAUGGCUGGCUUCAGGAAAUCUUGUCCGACCCAGCAGUAAAGAACCCAAGAGCAGGUGGGCCUGUUGAGGGAGAGGCAGGCCUGCCACCUGCAGAUCCACGGGCUGGCUGCCCCUGGCAGUGUGCGCGGCAGGCUGGGUCAGCCUCAGGAGGCCCCCGAGCGGGGAGCGCCCAACUUUGUGCUGUGCAUGUUGCUGCAUAUUCAACAUAUGUCUAGUUUCAAUAACAGUAAUGAAAAUCAAUAAACUCAGGUCCCCUAAUCCCAAGCUCAGCAUUCUCUUCACCAG